GUAGGUGGCAAGCGUUGUCCGGAAUUAUUGGGCGUAAAGCGCGCGCAGGCGGUUCGUUUAAGUCUGAUGUGAAAGCCCACGGGCUCAACCGUGGAGGGUCAUUGGAAACUGGAGAACUUGAGUACAGAAGAGGAAAGCGGAAUUCCACGUGUAGCGGUGAAACGCGUAGAGAUGUGGAGGAACACCAGUGGCGAAGGCGGCUUUCUGGUCUGUAACUGACGCUGAGGCGCGAAAGCGUGGGGAGCAAACAGGAUUAGAUACCCUGGUAGUCCACGCCGUAAACGAUGAGUGCUAAGUGUUAGGGGGUUUCCGCCCCUUAGUGCUGCAGCUAACGCAUUAAGCACUCCGCCUGGGGAGUACGGCCGCAAAGGCUG
rnacentral:rRNA from 1 species